UACGUAGGGGGCAAGCGUUGUCCGGAUUAUUGGGCGUAAAGAGCGUGUAGGCGGUUCGGUAGGUCCGUUGUGAAAACUCGAGCUCAACCUCGAGACGCCGAUGGAAACCCUCGAACUAGAGUCCGGAAGAGGAGAGUGGAAUUCCUGGUGUAGCGGUGGAAUGCGUAGAGAUCCGGAAGAACACCGGUGGCGAAGGCGGUCUGCUGGGCCAGUUGCUGACACUGAGGCGCGACAGCGUGGGGAGCAACAGGG
rnacentral:rRNA from 1 species